rnacentral:rRNA from 1 species
UACGGAGGGGGCUAGCGUUGUUCGGAAUCACUGGGCGUAAAGGGUGCGUAGGCGGGUUUUUAAGUCAGGGGUGAAAUCCUGGAGCUCAACUCCAGAACUGCCUUUGAUACUGGCGACCUUGAGUUCGGGAGAGGUGAGUGGAACUGCGAGUGUAGAGGUGAAAUUCGUAGAUAUUCGCAAGAACACCAGUGGCGAAGGCGGCUCACUGGCCCGAUACUGACGCUGAGGUGCGAAAGCGUGGGGAGCAAACAGG